rnacentral:misc_RNA from 1 species
UCUCUUCUUGAUCACUGCUAA